CCUACGGGAGGCAGCAGUGGGGAAUAUUGCACAAUGGGGGAAACCCUGAUGCAGCGACGCCGCGUGAGUGAGGAAGUAUUUCGGUAUGUAAAGCUCUAUCAGCAGGGAAGAAAAUGACGGUACCUGACUAAGAAGCCCCGGCUAACUACGUCCCAGCAGCCGCGGUAAUACGUAGGGGGCAAGCGUUAUCCGGAUUUACUGGGUGUAAAGGGAGCGUAGACGGCUAAUCAAGUCAGAAGUGAAAACCCCGGGCUCAACCUUGGGACUGCUUUUGAAACUGAGUAGCUAGAGUGCAGGAGAGGUAAGCGGAAUUCCUAGUGUAGCGGGGAAAUGCGGAGAUAUUAGGAGGAACACCAGUGGCGAAGGCGGCUUACUGGACUGUAACUGACGUUGAGGCUCGAAAGCGUGGGGAGCAAACAGGAUUAGAUACCCCUGUAGUC
rnacentral:rRNA from 1 species